UUACAUUCAUACAAGCCUAUUCAUACAAAUCAAUGAGUUCAUACACCAUUCAAACCAAAUUUUUACAUUACAAUAUUCAACCACAAAACCAAUCAUUCAGCUUCAUUACAAUUCCAAAUCUUCAUUCUAAACCAUUUACAAAAGCCUUACAACCAUUAAAAUGCAAUAUGAGUCUAAAUCAUUAUGUAACCUUUACAAGUCAUACGACCAAGUGACAUACAAUCAACAUGCCUAUACCUUGUUCUACAUAACAUAAACCACAUACAUGGAUACAUCUAAUUCAAACCAAUCACCAUAAAUCCACGACCUCCAUGACCAAAGGCAAUGCACCACACCAGGCCAAAUUCUGAGCAUAUCAUGGCUGCACAAACCAGUUGGACAUGACUAAACUCAAGCCUAGUGGACCUGCAAUCCCAAGACAAAUCUUCUACGCCCUCAGAUCAUCACCUUAGCAGGGGUCUCAAGCCUUGAACAAGUCAGCAAAAUGCCCUGUUUCCAACUACAACCCUUGGCUCACCACCAUCAAAUAAAAUGACUUGCAUUAUUCAUCAAUCAUAAUUUAACUUCAGUAAUAACAAGGCAAUAGUUGAAUCAAUGGAAACAUGACAAUAAUGCACUACAAUAGGUGACUUAAGCCUGACAAAUUCAUUCACCAUUCAUUAAUUGACAAUAUUUCAAAGUCCAUGAUGAUGGUUUAGUUAAUCAAGCAAUCAACAUUAAUAACUAGGCAGUAAUAUAGCUAAUUCACAGCACAUCCUAGCACUAAUUGGCAAUAUGCAUACCUGUAUAACAAGCAUUACAUUUUAGCAUCUCCAUUCUAUUGCAGCAUAAGUCAAUAACAGUAGGCAUAUGACAGUUCAUAAAAUCAUUCAUGAUGAAUCAUUCCAUGACUAUCCCUAGCAUGCUAAUUUAAUUGAUAAUCCAUAACAUACACUUUCCAUUAGCAUUUUCAAUUCACAUCAUUUUCAACACAAGUUAACUCAUAGCAUAACAAAACCUUGUAACCUACUAAUAUCACAAUUAAAUUUUUAAUAGCAUAUAAUACAACAUAACAAACUUUCUAAUUCACUUCAAAUUCAUUAACUAACCAUAACUGAAAUUAACAGAAAAUCCAAACAGAGUUAAGAUGGAUAACAAACUUACCCUAUGAUGACUAACUGACCUAACGCCUCUAACAGAAUUGCCUAAAGCCUGCCCGAGUUGGUUACAUACUCAUCCUCUAUAUAACAUCUUCACUCUGCUUCAUUCUAGGAUCCUUCACUUCGAGCUUCAUUCUGCAUCUUCUGCAACUUCAAUCUUCUGCAAGUUCGAUUUGCACUCCUCAUAAUGUCUCUGAGGCUUUGCUCUCAUCACAUCCAUAACCACGAGUUGCAACACCAUAGAAAAAGCAGGGGAGGGAGAGUAUUCGGAAGAGGACGAAUUAAGUAGAAUAAGAAGUAGACAUCAAGGAAAGAGCCAAGAUCGUACUUGUUAAUCAAGUGAUUUUCCAUCGCUACUUCAUCUUCUCCGAUUCAAGUUGAAAUGGAAGGUAGAUUUGGAUUGGGGAGAUAGAAACAAAUCUUUUGUUGUAUCUUACAGUCAUUUCUGGUGGCUACUUCCGCUGGAGGCAAUUUCCAGCGGCGCGGUGGCCCGCGACGAACAUUGAUC
rnacentral:lncRNA from 1 species